rnacentral:lncRNA from 1 species
ACCGAUGACAACAGGUUAUCAGGUAGAUGACACUGAAGAAGCAUUUUCUGACACUACACUGUACAGGAGUGUGCUAGGCAAGCUAAACUUCAUUGCCAGAUGUUCAAGACCAGACAUUGCUGUUAGCUGUAAUUUGCUAAGCAGACAAGUCAACAAUCCUAGUGUCAAGGAUUGGAAAGCUCUGAAACACAUAGCGCGGUAUUUGAAAGGCACUAUGCAUUACAGACUGAGAUUUAACAAUCAGAAGUCUGGUGGUCUUGAGAUAUUUGCAGAUGCAAGUUUUGGAAGUGACGCUACAGACAGGAAAAGUACGUCUGGAGUUUGCUAUAUGUACAAUCAGAGUCUUUUUGAUUGGUCAUGCAAGAAGCAAACAACAGUUAGCUUAAAUACUUGUGAAGCUGAACUGAAUGCACUGUCUUAUUCACUUAAGGAUUGUGAAUGGUUAGUACAAUUGUGCAAAGAUAUGAAAAUUCCUGUCAAAUGUCCAAUCCAGGUUUACCAGGACAACAAAGCAUGUUUGGCUUUGCUGAAGUCUGAAGGUUGUAAGCAAAGCACAAAGCACUUGCAAUUAAAGUUGCAGCAUGCUAGGGAAUGUAUUCAGAAGGGACUCGUAACGGUGUCCUAUAUGCCAGGUAAUGAAAUUCCUGCUGAUGUAUUGUCCAAGAUUGUAUCAAGGGAUCAACACUGUACCUAUGUGCAGAAGUUGGGUUUGUACUGAUAUUGUGCAAACACGCUGCCCAGUGAUGUUCACAGAAAGGGGGAGGAUGUUGGUUUCUGCUUUCCUUCACUGAGCAGCAACUGCUGUCAUGAGACAGGUGUUUACAUUCCACAGACUGUACUGUUGGAGUUUCUCACGGGAAAGGGAGACUGGAUGUGACGUACACUGGUUUCCUGUUUUUUCACUGUGUGAUUCUCUCCAAGCUGUCGAGGAGAGAGGAUGCAUUUUUCUGCUUUGGCAGAGGCAAGAUGUCUUUCUGUAAUAUACCAGCUUUGAACUGUAAAUAAAGCAAUAUAGAGUAUGUAGCACG